UACGAAGGGGGCUAGCGUUGCUCGGAAUCACUGGGCGUAAAGCGCACGUAGGCGGAUUUGUAAGUCAGGGGUGAAAUCCCGAGGCUCAACCUCGGAACUGCCUUUGAUACUGCAAAUCUCGAGUCCGGAAGAGGUGAGUGGAAUUCCUAGUGUAGAGGUGAAAUUCGUAGAUAUUAGGAAGAACACCAGUGGCGAAGGCGGCUCACUGGUCCGGUACUGACGCUGAGGUGCGAAAGCGUGGGGAGCGAACGAGG
rnacentral:rRNA from 1 species